rnacentral:tRNA from 1 species
UUAAUUGAAACCAAAUAGGAAAAUCACUGUUAAUGAUUAAAUUGAGUAAACCUCCAAUUAAG